rnacentral:rRNA from 1 species
CCUACGGGAGGCAGCAGUGAGGAAUAUUGGUCAAUGGGCGUAAGCCUGAACCAGCCAAGUCGCGUGAGGGAUGAAGGUUCUAUGGAUCGUAAACCUCUUUUAUAAGGGAAUAAAGUGCGGGACGUGUCCCGUUUUGUAUGUACCUUAUGAAUAAGGAUCGGCUAACUCCGUGCCAGCAGCCGCGGUAAUACGGAGGAUCCGAGCGUUAUCCGGAUUUAUUGGGUUUAAAGGGUGCGUAGGCGGCCUUUUAAGUCAGCGGUGAAAUUCGGUGGCUCAACCAUAGAAUUGCCGUUGAAACUGGGAGGCUUGAGUAUGUUUGAGGCAGGCGGAAUGCGUGGUGUAGCGGUGAAAUGCUUAGAUAUCACGCAGAACCCCGAUUGCGAUGGCAGCCUGCCAAGCCAUGACUGACGCUGAUGCACGAAAGCGUGGGGAUCAAACAGGAUUAGAUACCCUGGUAGUC